GAUGAACGCUGGCGGCGUGCCUAAUACAUGCAAGUCGAGCGAACGGACGAGAAGCUUGCUUCUCUGAUGUUAGCGGCGGACGGGUGAGUAACACGUGGAUAACCUACUUAUAAGACUGGGAUAACUUCGGGAAACCGGAGCUAAUACCGGAUAAUAUUUUGAACCGCAUGGUUCAAAAGUGAAAGACGGUCUUGCUGUCACUUAUAGAUGGAUCCGCGCUGCAUUAGCUAGUUGGUAAGGUAACGGCUUACCAAGGCAACGAUGCAUAGCCGACCUGAGAGGGGGAUCGACGACCCUGGAACUGAGACACGGUCCAGACUCCUACGGGAGGCAGCAGUAGAGAAUCUUCCGCAGUAGGCGAAAGCCUGACGGAGCAACGCCGCGUGAGUGAUGAAGGUCUUCGGAUCGUAAAACUCUGUUAUUAGGGAAGAACAGAUGUGUAAGUAACUGUGCACAUCGUGACGGUACCUGAUCAGAAAGCCACGGCUAACUACGUG
rnacentral:rRNA from 1 species